rnacentral:rRNA from 1 species
UUGAACGCUGGCGGCAUGCUUUACACAUGCAAGUCGAACGGUAACAGGCCUUCGGGUGCUGACGAGUGGCGAACGGGUGAGUAAUGCAUCGGAACGUACCCAGAGGUGGGGGAUAACGCAGCGAAAGCUGUGCUAAUACCGCAUGUGAUCUGAGGAUGAAAGCGGGGGACCGAGCAGCAAUGUUUGGCCUCGCGCCUUUGGAGCGGCCGAUGUCGGAUUAGCUAGUUGGUGGGGUAAAGGCCUACCAAGGCGACGAUCCGAGCUGGUCUGAGAGGACGACCAGCCACACUGGGACUGAGACACGGCCCAGACUCCUACGGGAGGCAGCAGUGGGGAAUUUUGGACAAUGGGCGCAAGCCUGAUCCAGCAAUGCCGCGUGCGGGAAGAAGGCCUUCGGGUUGUAAACCGCUUUUGGCAGGAACGAAACGGUGUCCGCUAAUACCGGGCGCUAAUGACGGUACCUGCAGAAUAAGCACCGGCUAACUACGUG